CGUGGAUGGAGGCGACAUGGCUCAAUCUGGGGCAGAUGCAUCGAACCAUCGGAUCAAGGAAGGGCCCAAGCGCUGCCACGUGUCGACAUCUGAAAAACCUUCGUUCGGCACGCUUUCAUCUCGACCGUCGAAGGACCUUAUAUAUAUACGGUCACUUACAUCCAAAACUUUACUUUUUGCUGUCCUGUUUCUGACGCUGAGGCCCUGUCGAAUUGUCCCCCAGUUCC
rnacentral:lncRNA from 1 species